rnacentral:tRNA from 1 species
GCCCGGGUGGCGGAAAUGGCAGACGCGCCAGACUAAGGAUCUGGUCCCAGAAAUGGGGUAGGAGUUCAAUUCUCCUCCCGGGCACCA